GGCUCGUUCGUCUAACGGUUCAAGAUGUCAGGUUGUCAACCUGGAGACACGGGUUCAACUCCCGUACGAGUCGCC
rnacentral:tRNA from 1 species